rnacentral:rRNA from 1 species
GUAAUGUAUAGGUAACAUGCCUUCUACUAGGGGAUAACAGUUGGAAACGACUGCUAAUACCCUAUAUUCCUUAUUAGCACAAGUGUGUAAGGGAAAGAUUCAUUGGUAGAAGAUUGGCCUAUAUUGUAUCAGCUAGUUGGUAGUGUAAUGGACUACCAAGGCUAUGACGCAUAACUGGUUUGAGAGGAUGAUCAGUCACACUGGAACUGAGACACGGUCCAGACUCCUACGGGAGGCAGCAGUGGGGAAUAUUGCACAAUGGGCGAAAGCCUGAUGCAGCAACGCCGCGUGGAGGAUGACACAUUUCGGUGUGUAAACUCCUUUUAUGAGUCAAGAAAAUGACGGUAGCUCAUGAAUAAGCACCGGCUAACUCCGUGCCAGCAGCCGCGGUAAUACGGAGGGUGCAAGCGUUACUCGGAAUCACUGGGCGUAAAGGACGCGUAGGCGGGAUGUCAAGUCAGGUGUGAAAUCCUAUGGCUCAACCAUAGAACUGCAUUUGAAACUGGCAACCUAGAGUAUGGGAGGGGGAGAUGGAAUUAGUGGUGUAGGGGUAAAAUCCGUAGAUAUCACUAGGAAUACCUAAAGCGAAGGCGAUCUCCUGGAACAUAACUGACGCUAAGGCGUGAAAGCGUGGGGAGCAAACAGGAUUAGAUACCCUGGUAGUCCACGCCCUAAACGAUGAACACUAGUCGUCGUGAUGCUUGUCAGGGCGGUGAUGCACUUAACAGAUUAAGUGUUCCGCCUGGGGAGUACGGUCGCAAGAUUAAAACUCAAAGGAAUGGACGGGGACCCGCACAAGUGGUGGAGCAUGUGGUUUAAUUCGAAGAUACGCGAAGAACCUUACCUAGCCUUGACAUUGAUAGAAUACCCUAGAGAUAGAGUAGUGCCUUUCGGGGAACUUGAAAACAGGUGCUGCACGGCUGUCGCCAGCUCGUGUCGUGAGAUGUUGGGUUAAGUCCUGCAACGAGCGC